AAUAGACUGCCCCAAUAACAUAUUAUUCCCCUUAUCUCGGCGCAACCCCUUCCUCUCCUGCUUCUUCGUCUCCUCCUCCUCGAAACUCUGUACUCUGUUCUUCUCUCCUUCACCUAGACUCGUUACAUACGUGUUUUCGUAGUCGGUCAUGUCCCCCACCUCGUUCUUUCUUCAUCUCACUCCCGCUUCGUGCCCAGUUCUGUCUCUGGUUUCUAAUGUUGUUGCAUAAUUGCGCAGGCUUUGAAAAUCGAUAGAACAGCGCAGAAACUCCCGCAGCUUAUUCCUGUACCCAUCUACCUACCUACCUAGCUCGUCUAUAGACAAUUUCACUAUAUCUAUACUCUCGUAACUCACUCUCUGUAUCCCUGUUACCGGUAAUUCGCUACGCGUUAUGGAAUCAAAUAAUGCCCGAACAUUUUGAUGUACGUGUUCAGUUUCGUGGUGAUUAUGAUACGAAGGCAUUGAUCAAACGCAGUGCAGACGGCAAGUCCUUGCUUGUCUGGACUCCAAUCCAACGAACUGACUGGUUGAGAAGAGAGCGUGCUGUUCUGGAGCAGAGAUACUGAACCGACUACUCCCUGCUCUAUGCCAUCGGCGUCUGCUGUCACUCGCUUUUCAGGAUAUUGGCUGCGGCACACAAGAACAGAAAUUUUACAUCGCAUAGCGAUCCUCCACCUCCCGACGUCAUGAAUAUCUCUCGGUUCUGGGGCAGAUGACGUACCAGCCAUAUAGUUGAUUUAUGCGCCUGAAAUCAAGUCGGAUUAUGGCUUGUUGCAAUGCUCUAUAAAAGGGUCAAACAGGUAGAACUUGGAUUCAAGAGUGGUGGCGACCAGUUUGUUCAUCGCGAUAUCUUUUCUGUCAAACUCCAAUCCACAAACUCCGUUCUUCAAGUUGCUCUCCCAUCUGAGAGCCAUCGCCUUUAGGUCAAACAUCUUAACGUCGCCAUUGUCAUAGCCAGCCGCGACGACCCUUUCUUCAGAGUUGUA
rnacentral:lncRNA from 1 species